rnacentral:rRNA from 1 species
UACGUAGGCAGCAAGCGUUGUUCGGAGUUACUGGGCGUAAAGGGUGUGUAGGCGGUUGUUUAAGUUUGGUGUGAAAUCUCCCGGCUUAACUGGGAGGGUGCGCCGAAGACUGGAAGGCUUGAGUAUGGGAGAGGUAAGCGGAAUUCCUGGUGUAGCGGUGAAAUGCGUAGAUAUCAGGAGGAACACCUGCGGUGUAGACGGCUUACUGGACCAUAACUGACGCUGAGGCACGAAAGCGUGGGUAGCAAACAGG